UUAUCGAAUUAUAAACCCAGGCGAAGGCCGAUCCGAUCGCUGUCGCUGGCCUUUUACUAGGCAUGUGCACGCUUUCCUUGAUAACCUUCGCCUUAUGGGCGCGGGGCGACCCGCGUCUUCAUAUACCUCUUCGUGUAGAAAGUCUUUGAAUGUUUAUACCAUCAUCGACUCGCGACUUCUAGGAGACGCGAUUCUUUGAGACAAAAGUUUAUUACAACUUUCAGCAAUGGAUCUCUUGGCUCUCGCAUCGAUGAAGAACGCAGCGAAUCGCGAUAUGUAAUGUGAAUUGCAGAUCUACAGUGAAUCAUCGAAUCUUUGAACGCACCUUGCGCUCCUCGGUGUUCCGAGGAGCAUGCCUGUUUGAGCGUCAGUAAAUUCUCAACCCCUCUCGAUUUACUUCGAUAGGGUGCUUGGAUAGUGGGGGCUGCCGGAGACCUAGACUUUUUGUCCAGGACUCGGGCUCUCCUGAAAUCAAUCGGCUUGCGGUCGGCUUUCGACUAUGCAUGACAAGGCUUUUGGCGUGAUAAUGAUCGCCGUCUGCUGAAGUGCAUGAAUGAACGUCCCGUGCCUCUAAUCUGUCGAUGCCUUAUGGGCAUCUUCUUUAUUGACUUUUGACCUCAA
rnacentral:rRNA from 1 species